rnacentral:misc_RNA from 1 species
CGAGAAAGCGGGGGCAACUCCGCAAGUAAAGUGGCUUANGCGNUGAGUAACACGUGAACAAUCUACCUUCGAGUGGGGAAUAACCCCGCGAAAGCGGGGCUAAUACCUCAUGACAUCCGCAGGUCGCAUGAUCUGGGGAUCAAGGGCUUUGGUCGCUCGAAGAGGAGUUCGCGCCUGAUUAGCUAGUUGGUGAGGUAAGAGCUCACCAAGGCGACGAUCAGUAGCCGUCCUGAGAGGGAGCACGGUCACACUGGAACUGAAACACGGUCCUGACUUUUACUGGAGGCAUCAGUGGGAUCUUGCUUAACAAACUCAGAGCCAUCCUGGAAAAACUUGCCCGCCGCUCCCCCCUCAUAGACGAGACCGAAUCAACCCACCGACAGAAUAAGCUUCGUUUACGCUACCCCCUGUCUCAAAGACCUUGAAUUGAUAUCUCCCUUUGUUCUGCAACACUAUUCUCAUACGCGCAACACUGUUCACCAAUAUCCAACCAUCAGAAAUUAACAUCGUAAUACAUUAAUUAAGAAGAAUUAACCUUUCACACCCCACUACCGUCUCUGCAACCCAACACGAAGUCAAUUACAUUACCUACCCGGCGGGAGACGGACCCGCCACAUCUCGCCACCGCUAUAGUCACUCUAUUAUAUUAAAUACUAAAUGCAGAAUAGC